rnacentral:rRNA from 1 species
UACGUAGGGUGCGAGCGUUAAUCGGAAUUACUGGGCGUAAAGCGUGCGCAGGCGGCGCGUUAAGACAGGUGUGAAAGCCCCGAGCUUAACUUGGGAAUUGCGCUUGUGACUGGCGAGCUGGAGUGUGGCAGAGGGAGGUGGAAUUCCACGUGUAGCAGUGAAAUGCGUAGAGAUGCGGAGGAACGCCGAUGGCGAAGGCAAUCCCCUGGACCUGUACUGACGCUCAUGCACGAAAGCGUGGGGAGCAAACAGG